UGGGGAAUAUUGGACACUGGGCGAAAGCCUGAUCCAGCCAUGCCGCGUGUGUGAAGAAGGUCUUCGGAUUGUAAAGCACUUUAAGUUGGGAGGAAGGGCAGUAAGCGAAUACCUUGCUGUUUUGACGUUACCGACAGAAUAAGCACCGGCUAACUCUGUGCCAGCAGCCGCGGUAAUACAGAGGGUGCAAGCGUUAAUCGGAAUUACUGGGCGUAAAGCGCGCGUAGGUGGUUCGUUAAGUUGAAUGUGAAAGCCCCGGGAUCAACCUGGGAACUGCAUCCAAAACAGGCGAGCGAGAGUAGGGCAGAGGGUGGUGGAAUUUGCUGUGUAGCGGUGAAAUGCGUAGAUAUAGGAAGGAACACAAGUGGCGAAGGCGACCACCUGGGCUCAUACUGACACUGAGGUGCGAAAGCGUGGGGAGCAAACAGG
rnacentral:rRNA from 1 species